rnacentral:rRNA from 1 species
UGCGAAGGUGGCAAGCGUUGUUCGGAUUUACUGGGCGUACAGGGGGCGUAGGCGGUUGGAUAAGCCCUCCGUGAAAUCUCCAGGCUUAACCUGGAAAGUGCAGAGGGGACUGUUCAGCUAGAGGAUGGGAGAGGAGCGCGGAAUUCCCGGUGUAGCGGUGAAAUGCGUAGAGAUCGGGAGGAAGGCCGGUGGCGAAGGCGGCGCUCUGGAACAUUUCUGACGCUGAGGCUCGAAAGCGUGGGGAGCAAACAGG